GGGCGAAAGCCUGAUGCAGCGACGCCGCGUGAGGGAUGACGGCCUUCGGGUUGUAAACCUCUUUCAGCAGGGAAGAAGCGAGAGUGACGGUACCUGCAGAAGAAGCGCCGGCUAACUACGUGCCAGCAGCCGCGGUAAUACGUAGGGCGCGAGCGUUGUCCGGAAUUAUUGGGCGUAAAGAGCUCGUAGGCGGUCUGUCGCGUCGGAUGUGAAAGCCCGGGGCUUAACCCCGGGUCUGCAUUCGAUACGGGCAGACUAGAGUGUGGUAGGGGAGAUCGGAAAUCCUGGUGUAGCGGUGAAAUGCGCAGAUAUCAGGAGGAACACCGGUGGCGAAGGCCGAUCUCUGGGCCAUUACUGACGCUGAGGAGCGAAAGCGUGGGGAGCGAACAGGAUUAGAUACCCUGGUAGUCCACGCCGUAAACGGUGGGAACUAGGUGUUGGCGACAUUCCACGUCGUCGGUGCCGCAGCUAACGCAUUAAGUUCCCCGCCUGGGGAGUACGGCCGCAAGGCUAAAACUCAAAGGAAUUGACGGGG
rnacentral:rRNA from 1 species